rnacentral:lncRNA from 1 species
UGGAGGGCUUAACAAUUUUUUCUUUUAAAAACUAGUUUUUGGAAGAACAAUCGAAAGAGCCACUUUAAUCCGUUUAGACAAAAUAAAUUAGGAGAGAAAAUUGCGAAUCAAAUAUGGAAAUCGAAGGAAAACAAAAUAACAACAACAUGAGAAAACACUGAAUUAAUUAAUUAAAGUUAGUGCUAAUACAAUUAAAUAAAUAUAAGUUGCAAUUUAUAACAGAAUAAAAGAUUAAAGUUGAGGUUGGACCCCUUUUUGGCCCAUCAGUAGGCUGCCCAACCUUUGGGCUUGCAAUUUUAUGGACUUUUAAGUUCCAUUUCUCUGCACGUAUACCAGAUAUAUAUCACAACUCCAUUUCCUUGCGUUUUUGUGUAUAUAUUUUAAACACAUACAUACAACUUUUAGCCCCUCCCCCACCCCACCCCCCCACAUAAUCAGCUUCAUUUUCCAUUUUUCAACCGUAUAUCCUCAGCAUAUUGUUGUAUAUCUAUGUAUGCAACUUUGUUUCUCGACGGUUUUCGUCUAUCUUUUGAAUUUAGAGAAGGUUCGGACUCAACGGUAGACUGGGCCUCCACGACCCAUUGAAGAAAUGCAGGGAUGCGGGUCCGACUAGACUCCAACGAGGAUGCUCAUCAAAAAGAAGAAGUAAACGAUUAACUCAAUUCGAAAGACUCUUGCAUACAAUUUUUGUAAGAAAAAAAAAAGCUCUCAUUAACCAAUGUUAUUCAAAAGGGAAGAAAUUAAAUCUUUGAACAACUGCAGGCGAUUAGAAUAACAAAAAAUGAAAUGCUUCAAUUUUGAGAUUGUAUUGAAAACAAGAACAACCUAAAUUACUUUAUUCCAAGGAAAUAAAAAAUAUAUCCUAACUAAUUAAUCGACUUAGACAAGACUAAGCUAACAUUUACAAUUAUGCAACUACUCAUUAUCUCACUAAACUAACCAAUUUACCUAAACUAAUCAACUAUUUACUUUAUAAUCUCAACACAGUUGAAUAAAAUUUUGUUCAAAAAAUAGCUUGUUCAUCAAAUUUCAACAAUCUAAACAUGAGCAGAAAAAGGCACCAUUAUACAGAUAAAAUCUCCUUUUUAUUAAAUCACCAUAAACCCUCAAUAUAGAUGACUAAAUCAUGAGAAAGGAGAUAGGUACUUGGAGAGAUUCAUUAUCUCUACUUGAACUUAAAUAUUAUCAUUCAAAUGUGACCAUAGAGAAAGUAAUAAACCAAUAUCAUUCAAAACAGAUUUCAGACUAUCACAAUGGCAUACAAAGCAGAUUCACUUUUUCCGGUGAUCAAUUCUAAGCCAACACAUAACAUGACUUCGACUUAGCAUAUUUUUCAUCGAAAAAUCAAAACCUUUUUUUUAUUAGACGAGACCAGCCCACUCUCACAAUUAUUGCAAAAUUCCAGACUUACUAUAUUCAAGAGUAAAUAAGAAAAAAAUGCAAGAAAGAUGAAGUGCUUACAAAAUACUAAAGAGAAUUCAUACAAAAUCAAAUAAGUCCGAAUUCAACAUGAGACGAAACUCUAGUUACAGGAAACAAACUGGGUGAAAAGUUCACCUUUUUGGAGCAGCGAACGAGUCUUCAAAACCUUAUCGGAACAACUUCCACCACAAUUUCAGUGCUUUAAUGAAAUUCCAACGAUUUAGGAUGAAUUUUGAGAGUGCACUAAAAAUUUCUCGGUUACGUAGGGUUAGAGGUGAGCACCUCCAGAACCCUCAAGUUUUUCCUCAAGAAAUCCUCAUUCCUUUUCAUGGUGAAGAAAGGGCUAUUUAUAAAUGAAAUCUGGAUUUUCAAAUCCGGAAUUAAAGUGAAAUUUUUUUCAAAAAAAAUGUGUGGAUGGAGUUUGAAUUCAAAUUCAACAAAGAAUCUCUUUCAUAUCUUGAAUUAAUGAAGAAUUUCAGAACAAUUUUCGUUGUAUCACGGUUUGGGGACUAUUUCUCUGCCAUUGUUGGUUUCAACGGGUUGAAGAGCUAAGAAAUGGUGACGUGGCUGAGUUUUGGGAAUUGACGUUGUUUGUUGUUGAGGUUGUUAAACACCGUUUGUUGGAAUGGGUUUUUCCAUGGAAGUUGCUCGCAAUUGUUGUGGUUGCUGGUGGUUUUUUGUACUCUGUUAACUGUUGUUGUUGUUGUGUUGGAUAUUGACAAUAGGGGAAAAGAGGAUAAAGGAUGGGACAUGGGCCGGGUCAGCUGAUUUGAGAAUUGGGCCUGAUUGUUGUAUUGGGUUGGAGGCUGAUGGAUGGUUGUUGGGCUAAGUUGCUGAUGUAGUGU